rnacentral:rRNA from 1 species
GAGUUUGGAUCUGGCUCAGAUUGAACGCUGGCGGCAUGCCUUACACAUGCAAGUCGAACGGUAACAGGUUAAGCUGACGAGUGGCGAACGGGUGAGUAAUGUAUCGGAACGUGCCCAGUCGUGGGGGAUAACUGCUCGAAAGAGCAGCUAAUACCGCAUACGACCUGAGAGUGAAAGCGGGGGAUCGCAAGACCUCGCGCGAUUGGAGCGGCCGAUAUCAGAUUAGGUAGUUGGUGAGGUAAAGGCUCACCAAGCCGACGAUCUGUAGCUGGUCUGAGAGGACGACCAGCCACACUGGGACUGAGACACGGCCCAGACUCCUACGGGAGGCAGCAGUGGGGAAUUUUGGACAAUGGGCGCAAGCCUGAUCCAGCCAUGCCGCGUGCGGGAAGAAGGCCUUCGGGUUGUAAACCGCUUUUGUCAGGGAAGAAAAGGUUCUGGCUAAUACCUGGGACUCAUGACGGUACCUGAAGAAUAAGCACCGGCUAACUAC